AUUGAACGCUGGCGGCAGGCCUAACACAUGCAAGUCGAGCGGCAGCGGGAAAGUAGCUUGCUACUUUUGCCGGCGAGCGGCGGACGGGUGAGUAAUGCCUGGGAAAUUGCCCAGUCGAGGGGGAUAACAGUUGGAAACGACUGCUAAUACCGCAUACGCCCUACGGGGGAAAGCAGGGGACCUUCGGGCCUUGCGCGAUUGGAUAUGCCCAGGUGGGAUUAGCUAGUUGGUGAGGUAAUGGCUCACCAAGGCGACGAUCCCUAGCUGGUCUGAGAGGAUGAUCAGCCACACUGGAACUGAGACACGGUCCAGACUCCUACGGGAGGCAGCAGUGGGGAAUAUUGCACAAUGGGGGAAACCCUGAUGCAGCCAUGCCGCGUGUGUGAAGAAGGCCUUCGGGUUGUAAAGCACUUUCAGCGAGGAGGAAAGGUUGAUGCCUAAUACAUAUCAACUGUGACGUUACUCGCAGAAGAAGCACCGGCUAACUCCGUGCCAGCCGCCGCAGUAA
rnacentral:rRNA from 1 species